rnacentral:rRNA from 1 species
GUAGGUGGCAAGCGUUGUCCGGAAUUAUUGGGCGUCAAGCGCGCGCAGGGCGGUCCUUUAAGUCUGAUGUGAAAGCCCACGGCUCAACCGUGGAGGGUCAUUGGAAACUGGGGGACUUGAGUACAGAAGAGGAAAGCGGAAUUCCAAGUGUAGCGGUGAAAUGCGUAGAGAUUUGGAGGAACACCAGUGGCGAAGGCGGCUUUCUGGUCUGUAACUGACGCUGAGGCGCGAAAGCGUGGGGAGCAAACAGGAUUAGAUACCCUGGUAGUCCACGCCGUAAACGAUGAGUGCUAAGUGUUAGGGGGUUUCCGCCCCUUAGUGCUGCAGCUAACGCAUUAAGCACUCCGCCUGGGGAGUACGGCCGCAAGGCUG